rnacentral:rRNA from 1 species
UACCUGGUUGAUCCUGCCAGUAGUCAUAUGCUUGUCUCAAAGAUUAAGCCAUGCAUGUCUAAGUAUAAGCCUUUACACAGUGAAACUGCGAAUGGCUCAUUAAAACAGUUAUCGUCUCCUUGACAGUUCAUACUACAUGGAUACCUAUGGUAAUUCUAGAGCUAAUACAUGCCUAAAGACCCGACUUCGGAAGGGUUGUGCUUAUUAGAUACUACACCAACUGUCUUCGGACAGUUUUGCUGACUCAUAGUACCCAGCGAAUCGCAUGCUUCGGCGGCGAUGUGUCAUCCGAGUUUCUGACCUAUCAGCUUUCGACGGUAGGGUAUUGGCCUACCGUUGCUUUGACGGGUAACGGAGAAUUAGGGUUCGAUUCCGGAGAGGGAGCCUGCGAAACGGCUACCACAUCUAAGGAAGGCAGCAGGCGCGCAAAUUACCCAAUCCUGACUCAGGGAGGUAGUGACAAGAAAUAACAAUACUGGACCUUUCAGGUUUAGUAAUUGGAAUGAGAACAAUUUAAAACCCUUAUCGAGUAUCAAUUGGAGGGCAAGUCUGGUGCCAGCAGCCGCGGUAAUUCCAGCUCCAAUAGC